UGGAGACAGACUAAAUGCAAAAAACAAAGGGAUAAUUAUGAACCAUAAUUAUCACCUGGGUCGGAGUAGAUGAGGUGGGAGUUAGCCUUAAAGGGGAGUGGGGUAAUUUCUCAUCAAAAUCAGAAGGAAUGAAGACAGAUGGGUCAGUGGGCCCACACAUUUGGAGGGAAAGGAGAGGAGAGGACACAGGGACAUACCAACAAAAGGCCAGGUGAAAGUGGAAGCAGAGAGUGGAGUGGUGCAGCCACAAGCCAAGGAAUGCCAGAAGCCACUGGAAGCUGGAAAAGACAAGGAAAGAGUCUCCCCUAGAGGCUCUGGAGGCAGCAUGGCCUUGCUGACACGUUGAUUUCAGACUUCUGGCUGUG
rnacentral:lncRNA from 1 species